CAGGUUUGACCGCUGGCAUUUUGUUCAAACCAACUCAAUGGCCUUAGGGUGGACACUCUAACCACGAGGUUGGGAGUUCAAUCCCUUGCUGAAUCAUACCAAAGGGUGUAAAAAUGGAACCCGAUGCGUCUCUGCUUGGCACUCCGCAUUAAGGAGCUAGAUUGAAGGUAAGGCCAUGCGAUAGACUAGAGUCCUGUCCAGCGGGUCCAUCAAACUGCCUCAUGCUACAGAAACAAAAUAUUUGCUCCUCGGGCAAGGCUACUUACUAAAUGUGUUCUGAAUCUUGUAAAACAGUCCAAUAGCACCACCGACAGUCUUAUCACUCCUUUCCAUGAACAUCAAACUCCAGGUGCCAAGCAGGGCACAAACAUGCUCCGGUAUUAUCUGUAUAUYGCUUGUGUUACUGUCUGGUGCCGUGGGCUGUGGGUGGUGAGGUGAUUUGCAUUCAUAUCAGUGUUUAUAUCAGCCACAGUGUACAAUAGCUUUCUGUAGAGACGCUCACUCACUCCUCGUCCAGGGAACUCCGUGCAUGACCAGAGAUCCAGCACAAGAGAUGGUACUAAUGAAGGCCAGGACAGGGACAGGCUUGUAUUCACUUGCUAGCCUUCUCAUGAUCAGUAGUGUCUGUUCUACCUGUGUUCCCUUGAUGUGUCUAAGGUGCAACKUAACCCACUCACCUGGAAUAUCUGCUAUGGGAUUACCAGACAAGGCCAUCUGUGACACCCUGUGCUCAAACACUACCCAAUGCUUCAAUGCUACUGGUCAGUAUUCAUUUCAUAUACUCCCUACUGCCAAUGGAUAGUUGAGUUAUCAAUUUUUAUAUGGUGGUUGUUUGAAAUGUUAGUGGA